GGCAUGCCUGUUCGAGCGUCAUUACACCCCUCAAGCGUAGCUUGGUAUUGGACGUUCGCGGGCCCUCCUUAGGGGGGCCUGCGCGCCCAAAAAGCAGUGGCGGUCCCCGGGGAUUUCGCGCGUAGUAAAUAUUCUCCCGCGUUGGAAAGAACCGAUGG
rnacentral:rRNA from 1 species